rfam:Ictidomys tridecemlineatus contig052271, whole genome shotgun sequence.
GUGGUUGUGGCUCAGUGGUAGAGCACUCACCUGGCAUGUGUGAGACCCUGGGUUCAAUCCUUAGCACUACA